UACGAAGGGGGCUAGCGUUGCUCGGAAUUACUGGGCGUAAAGGGCGCGUAGGCGGAUGUUUAAGUCAGCGGUGAGAGCCCAGGGCUCAACCUUGGAACUGCCAUUGAUACUGGACAUCUUGAGUACGGGAGAGGUGAGUGGAACACCGAGUGUAGAGGUGAAAUUCGUAGAUAUUCGGUAGAACACCAGUGGCGAAGGCGACUCACUGGCCCGUUACUGACGCUGAGGCGCGAAAGCGUGGGGAGCAAACAGG
rnacentral:rRNA from 1 species